UCAACUCACUCCUCCUCCGCUUCCAGCGCCACCUCGUAUCUCCUCAAUCGCGACAUGUCCAGGCUCUGAACGGUUCCUGUGGAACAGCAUGAUAGGAACACUUAUUCCCGAAGUCGCAAGUCCCCUUCGCCAUCAUUUCCAGGACGAGUCUGAAUAGUCCUCAGUUCUUGAAUGACCUCAGACCAGAUUGAAUGACCUCAGACCAGAAGGAAUAGGCCAGCAGCGAGAACACAGCCUAGAGCAGGCUAAGCUUGCACUGUUGGGUUGAAGUGAGCAUCUUGUAUGUUCCUGAUCUGAAGAAAGCUCAGUCUUUCCUUAUUGACGGACAAGGUACCUUGAGAACUCAAGGAUGUAACAUCCAAGGACUCACUGUGAAGGGAUGGAAAGGUCCCAAACCGUGAAGAAUCUUUUUUGAUGGUUCUCUGCCGUCACUAAUUUCUUUUACUUCUUUUUCAUUCCAGCCCUUGACUUUCAUAAUUAAAUUGAGAACAUC
rnacentral:lncRNA from 1 species